UGCCUGUUUUGCCCCAAACCAUGCAUUUUUCUCCCUUUCCUCCUCAAACUCUGCCUGUUUUGCCCCAAACCAUGCAUUUUUCUCCCUUUCCUCCUCAAACUCUGCCUGUUUUGCCCCAAACUGCGCAUUUCUCUCCCUUUUCUGCCCAAACCAUGCAUUUCUCUCCCCAAACCCUGCCUGUUUUGCCCCAAACCGUGUAUUUUUCUCCAUUUUCUCCCCCAACCUUGCCCGUUUUGCCCCAAACCCUUCAUUUUUCUCCCCAAACCCCCUCCCUGCCCGCAGAUCAUGGCGACGGAGCCCUUGCACUGGGCCUGGCUGCGCGAGCGCCCCCCGCAGCACAGCGGGGCCGUCCGCAGCUACGCCGGGGACCCCCGGCCCCUCGCCCCCCUGCCGGCCCCCCGGGAGGAGGAAGAGGAUGAGGAUGAAGAAGACGAAGCCCCGGUGCCCGCCGUCCUCGUCCUCCCCCUGCAGCACCCCCCUGGCUGCGCUUAAACCCCCUGAGCACCCGAAAUUUGGGGUGUGACGGGCUCAGGGCUGCGUUCCCCACGUUUUUCUCGCAGUUUGCCCAAAAUUUGGGCUUUUAAACUCAGAAUCUGCUCGCUGAGCCGCUCGAGUGCGGCGCUAACUGGGCCGUUUUUGGGUGUUCUCCCCCACUUUUGCCCACUUUUCCAAUGAAUCCAACCCAAACCCUUUGCUGUAAGCACCACCUGCUGCUGUUGCCACCCCACACCACAACCAACACCCAUUUUUGCUGUUUUUCACCCCAAAACUCCCCUUUUUUGUUAUGAGCCCUAAGUCAGGGGGUGUAGUGAGGAGCCACAGCACAAUUGGUGCAAAAAGGGGUGAAAACGGCCAACGUGGAGCACUCAAUCAUCAUAUUUGCAUUGUGGGGGGGGAGAAUGGGAAGGGAGGGGUGCGUGCUGCUAAAAAUGGACCCCAAAAUUUUGGGGGAAAAGGGGAAAAAGGAGCAGGGCGGGGCCGUAACCGCCUGUUUUUGCUCAGCAGGGCCCUGCUGCUGGGAACCCCCCCGGAGGGAGCGGAGCUGUGGGUUCAGGUAGGGAUGGGCCCUGCUAUUACACGCAUGUUACACACAUCACACGCAUGUUAUAUACAUGUUACACGCAUGUUACACGCAUGUCACAUGUUACACGCGUGUUCUGCCCCUCCACACGUCCCCUCUGCAGCCAGACGCGGUGCACACACGUGUCACAGGCUCACAUGCGUGUUAGAGACUCACAUGUCCCAGAGUCGUGGGUGUCACGGCCUCGGACACGCGUGUCACAGGCUCACAUACGUGUUAGAGGCUGCCACACCUGUUACAUGCCCCAGAUUCGUGUGUCCUGGCCCUGCACACGCGUGUCCCAGCCCAUACACGCGUGUCCCAGCCUGCACAUGCCUUCCACAUGCAUGUCCUGACCCCUACAUGCAUGUCCCAGCUCUCACACGCCUCCCACACACGUGUUCCAGCCCAUGCACACCUCCCACAUGUGUCCCAGCCCAUGCACGCGUGUCCCAGCCUGCACACGCCUCCCCCACGCAUGUUCCAGCCCCACACACGCCUCCCACACGCGUGUCUCAGCCCACACAUGCCUCCCCCACGCCUCCCCCACGCAUGUCCUGGCCCCACACACGCGUGUCCCAGCCCGCACAUGCCUCCCACAUGCGUGUCACUGAUCUCCACAUGCCUCCUACACACGUGUCCUGGCCACACACACGCGUGUCCAAGCCUGCACACGCCUCCCACAUGCGUGUCCCAGCCCCCACACGCGUGUCCCAACCCGCACACGCCCCGCACACGCCUGUCCUUGACCUCCACACGCCUCCCCCACGCGUGUCCCGGCCCGCACACGCCUCCCCACGCGUGUCCUGGCCCCACACCCGUCUCAGGGCGCCGCCCCCGGCCCUGCUCCCCCUGCAGCACUGCGGACAAAAACCCGCAGCAGCGGCCGCACCCAAAACCCCCAGAAACCACCCCAAACCCCUUCCCCUCCCCCCCCACCACCUCAGCGCCCCCCAAAUCCCCUUUUUUCACCCCGUUUNNNNNNNNNNNNNNNNNNNNNNNNNNNNNNNNNNNNNNNNNNNNNNNNNNNNNNNNNNNNNNNNNNNNNNNNNNNNNNNNNNNNNNNNNNNNNNNNNNNNUUUGGUUUUGGGGCGGUUUUCCCCAAAAGCGGCGACUUUGGCAACGCUUCCCCCUCCCCUCUCCCCCUUCCCCCAAAUCGAGGUUCAUCCUUUUGACCCCAAAUCGGGGAAAACCAAAGGUUGGUGUUUUAAUUUUUAA
rnacentral:lncRNA from 1 species